AAAGGGUGCGUAGGUGGGUGUUUAAGUCUGGUUUGAAAGCAGGCGGCUUAACCGUCUGAUGUGGCUGGAAACUGGACAUCUUGAAUGGGUUGGCGGUAGCCGGAACGGGUCAUGUAGCGGUGAAAUGCAUAGAUAUGACCCAGAACACCGAUUGCGAAGGCAGGCUACUACGACUUGAUUGACACUGAGGCACGAGAGCAUGGGUAGCGAACAGGAUUAGAUACCCUGGU
rnacentral:rRNA from 1 species